CUUGACGACUAUAGAGCAUUGGAACCACCUGAUCCCAUCCCGAACUCAGAAGUGAAACGAUGCAUCGCCGAUGGUAGUGUGGGGUCUCCCCAUGUGAGAGUAGGUCAUCGUCAAGC
rnacentral:rRNA from 3 species